GGAAUAUAAGAACCCGUUUCUUAACUUUUAACUAAAAAAGUUAAGAAUCGGCUCUUAAAACUCUUAUCUAAGAGUCAGUUUUUAGCUUUUUUAGUUAAAAGUUAAGAGACAAAUUUUUAUAUUAC
rfam:Brassica napus, WGS project CCCW01000000 data, contig: 12192